rnacentral:tRNA from 7 species
GCUUGUCUAGCUUAGUUGGUAAAGCACAAGGCUACUCAUCUUGUGGUCCUAGGUUCAAGCCUCAUAGUUUGCA